rnacentral:pre_miRNA from 1 species
AUAGUACUCCCUCCGUCCGGAAAUACUUGUCAUCAAAAUAAAUAAAAGAGGAUGUAUCUAGACGUAUUUUAGUUCUAGAUACAUCUCUUUUUAUCCAUUUUGAUGACAAGUAUUUUCGGACGGAGGGAGUAUACC